GACAGAGGGUGCAACCGUUGUUCGGAAUUACUGGGCGUAAAGCGCGUGUAGGCGGUCUUAUAAGUCGGGUGUGAAAGCCCCGGGCUCAACCCGGGAAGUGCACUCGAAACUGUGAGGCUAGAGUAUCGGAGAGGUUGGUGGAAUUCUCGGUGUAGAGGUGAAAUUCGUAGAUAUCGAGAGGAACACCGGUGGCGAAGGCGGCCAACUGGACGAAUACUGACGCUGAGACUCGAAAGCGUGGGGAGCAAACAGG
rnacentral:rRNA from 1 species